CCUACGGGUGGCAGCAGUGGGGGAUAUUGCACAAUGGGGGAAACCCUGAUGCAGCGACGCCGCGUGUGGGAAGACGGUCCUCUGGAUUGUAAACCACUGUCCCCAGGGACGAAGAUGACGGUACCUGGGGAGGAAGCUCCGGCUAACUACGUGCCAGCAGCCGCGGUAAUACGUAGGGAGCGAGGGUUGUCCGGAAUUACUGGGUGUAAAGGGAGCGUAGGCGGGGAAGCAAGUUGGGGGGCAAAACUACCGGCUCAACUGGUAGUCGCACGCAAAACUGCAGGUCUUGAGUGAAGUAGAGGCAGGCGGAAUGCCUAGUGUAGCGGUGAAAUGCGUAGAUAUUAGGAGGAACACCAGUGGCGAAGGCGGCCUGCUGGGCUUUUACUGACGCUGAGGCUCGAAAGUGUGGGGAGCAAACAGGAUUAGAUACCCUUGUAGUC
rnacentral:rRNA from 1 species